ACUAGAAACGCGCGGGCCUUAAAAGAUGAGACCGGGAACGAGGCUUCCUGCGGGGUAAUCGGUUAAUGCGGCACCGCGCGCUGUCCCGCACAAUGACCGAGAAAUUAGCGUCCCCACCAAGCGUCAUGCCCACUGCGCACAGCCCAUGCCUAAGGGACCCCUUCCCGCCAGUUGCGUGGGUGUCAAAAACAUCAGAACAGAAAUACUGAAUUUAUCAGUCUAUGAACAUUUUACUGGAUUGCAUCUCAUCAGUGUAACUGAAGCCUGCAUUAAGGGACUAGCCUAACUCCUCUGGCAUCAAAACACAAGAUUACAGUAGCAGCACAAAUUAUAAAUAUUUUCCUCUGGAAAACUGGCCUUGAAAAAAGCACAUAAGAUCAAGAGGAAAUCAGUUCUGCUGGCUGUUCUGACUGAAUCUUGACAUGUCUUGUGCUGUCUUUCUGUCUGCACUUAGACCUAUAGCAGAAUAAUUUGGAAAGGUGAGAUUACAAUAUCUUGACAAUACCUGACUUCUUAUUAGUAAAUGCCAUCGUUGAUCUGUUACUGUAUUUUGAAAUGUAUCUUUGAUUUUUUUUUUUUUUUUAAUCCAAUCUCUCUUCUUUUAUUAGGCACUGUUUCACAGUAUUUGUUUCACUAUUGUGUAUAUACUGGCCCUAAGGAUAUUUGUAGGAUAGGCAGUCUGGGUGUUACCUGUGCUAGUUUUGAUAUUUGAAAAAGCUGUAAGUAUAUCCAUGCACUUAAUUUUUAGUUUAUUGCAGAUAGCCAAAACUAAUUAAUUUGAAAAGUAAAAUAAAAAAGAGGCAAAAAGUAAGGCAGGUAAGCUUUUAGCUAUUGGCAAAGCAAGGUUAGUUUUUACAUCACCUUUAAUUUCUUCCUUUUAGUCUUUUCAAUAUGGAUAAUUUUGUUAAUGUUUGAGGAAUUUUGAGGAUAUUGGCAAAGGUGCAAUAUCUAGAUUUACAAUUAAUAGUAAACAGUCUUACUACUUUUUUGUUUAGGCUUUAAUUAUUCCACCCCCCUAAUUUGCAAUAUCUAAUAAAUAGUCUUACAGUUGUAACUGUAAAUAUUUUCACCUUAGUAAACCUAAUACAACUCUUCUGAUUUGUUUUUAUAAAUUUUACUUUGGGAGGGAUUUUUUUAGGGAAUAAUUAUAUCUCUGAAAGGAAAUUCCAGUCUCGUUUUAUAAAUCUGAUCUCAAAGACAAACUCUGAUCUCAAGCUAUCUUCUGGAAAACUGUGAUGCAAAGUCCUUUUUCUCCAUGGAGACUAUGGGCCUGCAGGACAGGAGCAGACCCUGAGAAGCUGUAGUGCACUCCACUUUUUCUGUGCAGCAAAGGUAUAUGGAGACUGUCCUUGACAUGACUGUAUUUAACUGGUUCUUCAAAACUUCUAAUAAAAGAGAUUCUGUAACCUU